rnacentral:rRNA from 1 species
AGAGUUUGAUCCUGGCUUAGGAUGAACGCUGGCGGUGUGCCUUAAGCAUGCAAGUAGAACGGUCCCGAUGAUCCCGCAAGGGGCUAUCGGGGCAGUUGCAGACGGGUGAGUACAGCAUAGGAAUCUACCCAUUGGCGGGGAAUAACUUGGCGAAAGCCGGGCUAAUACCGCAUAAGAUCGCAAGAUGAAAGGCCUUAACGGGCCACCGAUGGAGGAGCCUAUGUCCUAUCAGCUAGUUGGCGGGGUAAUAGCCCACCAAGGCGACGACGGGUAGCUGGACUGAGAGGUUGGUCAGCCACAAUAGCACUGAGAUACGGGCUAUACGUCUACGGACGGCAGCAACUGGGAAUAUUGCGCAAUGGGCGAAAAACGCCUGACGCAGCGACACCGCGUGAAGGAUGAAGGUCUUAGGAUCGUAAACUUCUUUUGAUUCCCCAUAUGGGGAGUAGAAUAAGCACCUGCUAACCACGUGCCAGCCGCCGC